AGAGUUUGAUCAUGGCUCAGAAUUAACGCUGGCAGAGUGCAUAACACAUGCAAGUCGAGCGGAAUACGUAGCAAUACGUAUUUAGCGGCAGACGAGUGAGUAACACGUAAACAAUCUACCCUCGAAUGGCGAAUAACUAUCCGAAAGGAUAGCUAAUGCGCCGUACUCUCACCGGAAGGCAUCUUUUGGUGAGGAUAGAUCCGCAAGGAUCGUUCAAGGAGGAGUUUGCGGCCCAUCAGCUAGUUGGCGGUGUAACGGACCACCAAGGCUACGACGGGUACCCGGGCUGAAAGGCCGGACGGGCACGAUGGCACUGAGACACGGGCCAUACUCCUACGGGAGGCAGCAGUGGGGAAUCUUGGACAAUGGGCGAAAGCCUGAUCCAGCAACUCUGCGUGAGGGACGAAGGUCUUCGGAUCGUAAACCUCUUUUGUAUGGGACGAAAUCCCGCAAGGGUCUGACGGUACCAUACGAAUAAGCAACGGCUAACUAUGUGCCAGCAGCCGCGGUAAGACAUAGGUUGCGAGCGUUAUUCGGAAUUACUAGGCGUAAAGCGAGUGUAGGCGGACCUUUAAGUCUGACGUUAAAUCUCCUGGCUUAACUAGGAGCUGUCGUCGGAUACUGAAGGCCUCGAAUGGAGUAGGGGGCAGGGGAAUUCCCGGUGUAGCGGAAAUGCGUAGAUAUCGGGAGGAACACCUAUGGCGAAAGCACCUGCCUGGGCUUCUAUUGACGCUAAGACUCGAAAGCUGGGGGAGCAAACAGGAUUAGAUACCCUAGUAGUCC
rnacentral:rRNA from 1 species